CACGUAGUUAGCCGUGGCUUUCUGAUUAGGUACCGUCAAGACGUGCAUAGUUACUUACACAUUUGUUCUUCCCUAAUAACAGAGUUUUACGAUCCGAAGACCUUCUUCACUCACGCGGCGUUGCUCCGUCAGGCUUUCGCCCAUUGCGGAAGAUUCCCUACUGCUGCCUCCCGUAGGAGUCUGGGACCGUGUCUCAGUUCCAGUGUGGCCGAUCACCCUCUCAGGUCGGCUACGCAUCGUUGCCUUGGUAAGCCGUUACCUUACCAACUAGCUAAUGCGGCGCGGAUCCAUCUAUAAGUGACAGCAAGACCGUCUUUCACUGUUGAACCAUGCGGUUACAACUAUGUUAUCCGGUAUUACGCCGUUCCGGUUUCCCGAAGUUACUCCCUAGUUCUUAGUAGGUUAGGUUAUCCUACGUUGUUACU
rnacentral:rRNA from 1 species